rnacentral:rRNA from 1 species
GACGAACGCUGGCGGCAAGCUUAACACAUGAAGUCGAACGCCGUAGCAAUACGGAGUGGCAGACGGGUGAGUAACACGUGGGAACGUGCCUUUCGGUUCGGAACAACUGAGGGAAACUUCAGCUAAAACCGGAUACGCCCUUCGGGGGAAAGUUUACGCCGAAAGAUCGGCCCGCGUGAGGUUAGGUAGUUGGCGGGGUAAUGGCCCACCAAGCCGAUGAUCUGUAGCUGUUCUGAGAGGAAGAUCAGCCACACUGGGACUGAGACACGGCCCAGACUCCUACGGGAUGCAGCAGGGGGUAAUAUUGGACAAUGGGCGCAAGCCUGAUCCAGCUAUGCCGCGCGGAUGAAGAAGGCCGUCGGGUUGUAAAGUCCUUUCAGCGGGGAAGAUAAUGACGGUACCCGCAGAGGAAGCCCCGGCUAAUUUCGUGCCAGCCGCCGCCGUAAGAC